AUGGAGAGUUGUGUGAGGCAGCUCAAGGUAGAAGAAGAAGCGGCGCUGCGAGAGGCGGCGCCAACAAUUGGCAUCAGAGCCUUGUUGAUCCGUGGCGGCGACGACGGUGCCGGCGGCUAUGGUGGCCGGCGUGGCACUGGGCGCGAGGUGAUGGCUGGCAGCGGCGCGAUGCCGCGGGCGGCCGGUUGCGGUGCGAUGCCGCGAGAUGAAGGUGGUGCGAUGAUCGGCGUCGCGAGGACGUCAUCCACGACAAGAUGGUCCGUGGUGACCGGCGCUGCGACGGCGUCGGUUGUGGCGCGACGGACUUCAUGCGAGAUGGAGGCCGACGGCGCAAGAAGGAGGAUGGUGGCCAUGCGGUGCCGCUAUGUGAAGAUGGCGGUGCGAAGCUGCCACAAGAAGAGUCGGCGUGAUGCCGACGACGGUGGUGUGAUCCCAUCGUCAUCAUGGAAAGUUGGUGUGAAGCCAACAAAAGUUACGGUGCGAUGCCGCUUGGCGAAGACGGCGUGGUGA
rnacentral:rRNA from 1 species